rnacentral:rRNA from 1 species
AUUGAACGCUGGCGGCAUGCUUUACACAUGCAAGUCGAACGGUAACAGGUUAAGCUGACGAGUGGCGAACGGGUGAGUAAUGCAUCGGAACGUGCCCGAUCGUGGGGGAUAACACUUCGAAAGAAGUGCUAAUACCGCAUACGAUCUGAGGAUGAAAGCGGGGGACCGUAAGGCCUCGCGCGAUCGGAGCGGCCGAUGUCAGAUUAGGUAGUUGGUGGGGUAAAGGCUAACCAAGCCGACGAUCUGUAGCUGGUCUGAGAGGACGACCAGCCACACUGGGACUGAGACACGGCCCAGACUCCUACGGGAGUCAGCAGAGGGUAAUUUUGGACAAUGGGCGAAAGCCUGAUCCAGCAAUGCCGCGUGCAGGAAGAAGGCCUUCGGGUUGUAAACUGCUUUUGUACGGAGCGAAAAGGCCCUCUCUAAUACAGUGGGCUCAUGACGGUACCGUAAGAAUAAGCACCGGCUAACUACGUGCCAGCCGCCGCCGUAA